ACAGUAGUCCUCUGCCUCCACCGCCCCGGGAUCUCCUUGCGCUCGGUCCUCUACGUGGAGUCACCUAUGCAGAGGAAUUCCACGGGGCGGGGGCGAGGACAGGGUGCGGGGGUCUUUAUGGCAGACAAUCCCCGGCUGAGCGCUUGGCCAGAGUUUCUGUGAUGCUAGAAUCUGGACUGCCUGCGACCUCUCCGGGACUCGGACACCAGCCCUCGCCUCCUGGUGAUCUUUUAGGUCCUGCAGAGAAGUGAAGAGAUGAGCCCCAGAGAGGCGAAGCCACUUGAGCUCGUGAGUGACAGUCAGAUGUCAAGCCCUGCUCUUUCUAAAGCGUGCUGCCUUCAGAAAAGAAGAGCCAGAAGGAUGGAAAUUACUUCAGAAAGAUGAAUACCAGCUUUGAAGGAAUAAAAGCUGACGAGGAAUUGAAGGAGUUGAGGCACGAGCUUGAACAGGGUUGCAUGUUUGGCCCUUGAUUGUAAAUGCCCAUUGCUGCACCUGUUCCUGUUACUUGGGGAGUUGCAGCAGAAGGAACAGCGGCCUGGGACUCCAGAGAACUGGGUUCCCUCUCAUCCCUCCAGGGCCACCACUUCUUGUGGGCCCUUGGGCAAGUCACUGUACUUUCUGAGUCUCAGUUUCCCCAUUUGCAGAAUGGAAAUAACUACCCCGGUCUACCAACUUAGAAGAAUUGCUUUGAGGAUCUGAUAAGGUGGUGUGGAUGAUGCUGCCUUGGGGGCUUUACAGUCUGGAGCUCAAGGGACCCCUUAAGUUGGGCUUACUUAGUAACUCCAGGGGUGGGCAGAACAGGACUCCAAUGAGGGUUUUUUUCUUUUUCCCUUUUUUUUCUUUUCCUAUCUCUUAACUUUUAUCUUUAUUAUUUUACAAUGCCCUUGUAAGAUGAAACAAGUGAUGCUGAAAUAUCUUUUUCUUUUUUAACCUUUAUUUUAGAAUUGGGGUACAUGUGCAGGUUUGUUACAUAGGUACAGUGUGGGCUGCUGAGGUUUGGGAGUACGAAUGAAUUAGUCACCCCAGUGGUGAGCAUAGUGCCCGAUAAGUGGUUUUUUCAACCCUUACUCCCAUCCCUCUCCAUUCUUGUGUUCCCCAGUGUCUGCUGUUCCCAUUUUUAUGACCAUGUGUACUCAAUGUUUAGCUCCCACUUAGAAGUAAGAACAUGCCCAGCACUUUGGGAGGCCGAGGUGGGUGGAUCAUGAGGUCAAGAGAUCGAGACCAUCUUGGCUAACAAAGUGAAACCCUGUCUCUACUAAAAACAUAAAAAAUUGGCCGGGUGUGGUGGUGGGCACCUGUAGUCCUAGCUACUCGGGAGGCUGAGACAGGAGAAUCGCCUGAACCGGGGAGGUGGAGGUUGCAGUGAGCUGAGAUUGUACCACUGCACUCCAGCCUGGGUGACAGAGUGAGACUCCAUCUCAAAAAAAUAAAAAUAAAAAAAUAAAAAGAAUGUGGUGUAUGA
rnacentral:lncRNA from 1 species